rnacentral:rRNA from 3 species
GGACUACUAGGGUUUCUAAUCCCGUUCGCUCCCCUGGCUUUCGCGUCUCAGCGUCAGGUGGGGUCCAGGAGCCCGCUUUCGCCACGGGCGUUCCUUCCGAUCUCAACGCAUUUCACCGCUCCACCGGAAGUUCCGGCUCCCCCUACCCCCCUCCAGGCCGGUCGUAUCGAGGCCCAUUCCCCAGUUGAGCUGGGGGAUUUCAACCAUCGACGUGCCGGCCCGCCUACACGCGCUUUAAGCCCAGUGAUUCCGAAUAACGUUCGCACGGUUCGUCUUACCGCGGCUGCUGGCAC